rnacentral:rRNA from 1 species
GACGAACGCUGGAGGCGUGCUUAACACAUGCAAGUCGAACGAUGAAGUGGAGCUUGCUCCACGGAUUAGUGGCGAACGGGUGAGUAACACGUGAAUAACCUGCCCUCAAUUUCGGAAUAACCCAGGGAAACCUGGGCUAAUACCGGAUACGUAAACCUGUGGCAUCACAUGGUUUUGGAAAGUUUUUCGAUUGAGGAUGGAUUCGCGGCCUAUCAGCUUGUUGGUGAGGUAAUGGCUCACCAAGGCGACGACGGGUAGCCGGCCUGAGAGGGUGAACGGCCACACUGGGACUGAGACACGGCCCAGACUCCUACGGGAGGCAGCAGUGGGGAAUAUUGGACAAUGGGCGAAAGCCUGAUCCAGCAAUGCCGCGUGAGUGAUGAAGGCCUUAGGGUGUAAAGCUCUUUUACCAGGGAUGAUAAUGACAGUACCU